GUCAGGAUGGCCGAGCGGUCCAAAGCGCUGCGUUCAGGUCGCAGUCCGGUCUUCCGGGCGUGGGUUCGAAUGCCACUUCUGACA
rnacentral:tRNA from 1 species